rnacentral:rRNA from 1 species
UGGGGAAUAUUGGACAAUGGGGGGAACCCUGAUCCAGCCAUGCCGCGUGUGUGAAGAAGGCCUUAUGGUUGUAAAGCACUUUAAGCGAGGAGGAGGCUACUAGUAUUAAUACUACUGGAUAGUGGACGUUACUCGCAGAAUAAGCACCGGCUAACUCUGUGCCAGCAGCCGUGGUAAUACAGAGGGUGCGAGCGUUAAUCGGAUUUACUGGGCGUAAAGCGUGCGUAGGCGGCCAUUUAAGUCAAAUGUGAAAUCCCCGAGCUUAACUUGGGAAUUGCAUUCGAUACUGGAUGGCUAGAGUAUGGGAGAGGAUGGUAGAAUUCCAGGUGUAGCGGUGAAAUGCGUAGAGAUCUGGAGGAAUACCGAUGGCGAAGGCAGCCAUCUGGCCUAAUACUGACGCUGAGGUACGAAAGCAUGGGGAGCAAACAGGAUUAGAUACCCUGGUAGUCCAUGCCGUAAACGAUGUCUACUAGCCGUUGGGGCCUUUGAGGCUUUAGUGGCGCAGCUAACGCGAUAAGUAGACCGCCUGGGGAGUACGGUCGCAAGACUAA